UAGACUAAGGUACUCUGACACUUGAUGU
rnacentral:piRNA from 1 species